rnacentral:tRNA from 1 species
GCUCACGUGGUAUAGUGGUUAGCAUUUCAGUUUGUGGAUCGGGCGUCAACUCACUGACGACGGCGGUUCGAUUCCGCCCGUGGGCA